GCACCGAAGCCUGCGKWMAKCGACGGCUGAUGCGUUGUUGGUAGGGAGCGUUCUGUAAGCCUGCGAAGGUGUGCUGUGAGGCAUGCUGGAGGUAUCAGAAGUGCGAAUGCUGACAUAAGUAACGAUAAAGCGGGUGAAAAGCCCGCUCGCCGGAAGACCAAGGGUUCCUGUCCAACGUUAAUCGGGGCAGGGUGAGUCGACCCCUAAGGCGAGGCCGAAAGGCGUAGUCGAUGGGAAACAGGUUAAUAUUCCUGUACUUGGUGUUACUGCGAAGGGGGGACGGAGAAGGCUAUGUUGGCCGGGCGACGGUUGUCCCGGUUUAAGCGUGUAGGCUGGUUUUCCAGGCAAAUCCGGAAAAUCAAGGCUGAGGCGUGAUGACGAGGCACUACGGUGCUGAAGCAACAAAUGCCCUGCUUCCAGGAAAAGCCUCUAAGCAUCAGGUAACAUCAAAUCGUACCCCAAACCGACACAGGUGGUCAGGUAGAGAAUACCAAGGCGCUUGAGAGAACUCGGGUGAAGGAACUAGGCAAAAUGGUGCCGUAACUUCGGGAGAAGGCACGCUGAUAUGUAGGUGAAGCGACUUGCUCGUGGAGCUGAAAUCAGUCGAAGAUACCAGCUGGCUGCAACUGUUUAUUAAAAACACAGCACUGUGCAAACACGAAAGUGGACGUAUACGGUGUGACGCCUGCCCGGUGCCGGAAGGUUAAUUGAUGGGGUUAGCGCAAGCGAAGCUCUUGAUCGAAGCCCCGGUAAACGGCGGCCGUAACUAUAACGGUCCUAAGGUAGCGAAAUUCCUUGUCGGGUAAGUUCCGACCUGCACGAAUGGCGUAAUGAUGGCCAGGCUGUCUCCACCCGAGACUCAGUGAAAUUGAACUCGCUGUGAAGAUGCAGUGUACCCGCGGCAAGACGGAAAGACCCCGUGAACCUUUACUAUAGCUUGACACUGAACAUUGAGCCUUGAUGUGUAGGAUAGGUGGGAGGCUUUGAAGUGUGGACGCCAGUCUGCAUGGAGCCGACCUUGAAAUACCACCCUUUAAUGUUUGAUGUUCUAACGUGGACCCGUAAUCCGGGUUGCGGACAGUGUCUGGUGGGUAGUUUGACUGGGGCGGUCUCCUCCUAAAGAGUAACGGAGGAGCACGAAGGUUGGCUAAUCCUGGUCGGACAUCAGGAGGUUAGUGCAAUGGCAUAAGCCAGCUUGACUGCGAGCGUGACGGCGCGAGCAGGUGCGAAAGCAGGUCAUAGUGAUCCGGUGGUUCUGAAUGGAAGGGCCAUCGCUCAACGGAUAAAAGGUACUCCGGGGAUAACAGGCUGAUACCGCCCAAGAGUUCAUAUCGACGGCGGUGUUUGGCACCUCGAUGUCGGCUCAUCACAUCCUGGGGCUGAAGUAGGUCCCAAGGGUAUGGCUGUUCGCCAUUUAAAGUGGUACGCGAGCUGGGUUUAGAACGUCGUGAGACAGUUCGGUCCCUAUCUGCCGUGGGCGCUGGAGAACUGAGGGGGCUGCUCCUAGUACGAGAGGACCGGAGUGGACGCAUCACUGGUGUUCGGGUUGUCAUGCCAAUGGCACUGCCCGGUAGCUAAAUGCGGAAGAGAUAAGUGCUGAAAGCAUCUAAGCACGAAACUUGCCCCGAGAUGAGUUCUCCCUGACUCCUUGAGAGUCCUGAAGGAACGUUGAAGACGACGACGUUGAUAGGCCGGGUGUGUAAGCGCAGCGAUGCGUUGAGCUAACCGGUACUAAUGAACCGUGAGGCUUAACCUUAC
rnacentral:rRNA from 1 species